AAUUAGUUAUGUAUCAUAAAUCAUGAAAGUAAGGGGAUCGCUAAAGUCUUGCCGCAACAGAGACAAGAACUGUAAAGUUGUCAAAAGACAUGGUAAGAUUUACAUCAUAAAUAAAGUAAAGCCAAGGUGUAAGGCGCGUCAAGGCUCUUAAUUUUUUGAUGCUUAUGUUUGUAAGAAAGAAAAGGUCGUUAUAUUUAAUUACAGUCUUACUUAUUUUUAUUCUUACGCUAUAUUUUAGCGUAAGUGCGGUUACGGGCAAACGUGGUCUGUUAACGUUAAUAAAUUUAAAAAAAGACAUAGAGUACAAUGAAUCUCUAUUAAAAGGUAUAUUUUAUGAGAAGAAUAAGUUGAAUAAUAAAAUACUUGGUUUAUAUGAAAAGAGCCUAGAUUUAGAUUUACUUGAUGAACAAGUAAAGAAUUUAGGUUAUGCUCAUCCAAAUGAGCUCAUGGUUAUUAUUGAUAGAGAGUAGACUUCUUUCAAAACUCGUUUAUGAUGAGAGGAGAAGUGCAAGCGAGUAUGGCAGGAUACUUGGAUAUAUUUUGAGGAGCGCAGUUCAGUCUGAGCAACAAAAUUGACAUCGGAAAGUGAGUUUUGAAAGAAGUCUAAUAACAGUUUACUUUAAAGCAAGAACUUUCUAUAUUGUAAUCAAAUUUAUCUUUAAA